UAUGCUUAACACAUGCAAGUCGGGCGUGGCGGCAGUAGGGGCAUCGGACUGGCCCCGGUAGGACAGCAAGCUAAGUGGCGAACUAGUGCGUAUAUAGGUGGGAAUCUGCCAAACAAAGCAGCGAGAUCCGUGUGCCACCUGCCUAUGUAUAUAUUAUAUAAUAUACAUGCAGGAUGAUAAGGCAGGAGUGGGUGCACCUUACUCAUACUAAGUAAGAUGGUUCCAUCCCACCGCUGUUCGAUGAGCCCGCUCCAUAUCAGGUAGUUGGUUAGGUAAAGGCUGACCAAGCCAAUGAUGCUUAGCUAGUCUGAUAGGAUGAUCAAUCACACUGAGACUAAGACACGGCCUAGACUCCAACAAGGGGGCAGCAGUGAGGAAUAUUGGAUAAUGGGCUCAUGCCCGAUCCAGCAAUAUUACUUGGGUGAAGAAGGGUCUCGCUCGUAAAGCUCAGCACAUCAAGUUUCGAUCAUGACAGGACUUAAGUAUGGUAGCCCUAGCUAACUCCAUGUCAGCAGCUACGGUAAGACGGGGGAGACAAGUAUUAUUCGGAAUGACUGGGUGUAAAGGGCACGUAUGCAGUGAAACAGGUGGUUUGUCUAGUGCAGCCCUUGACCAUUUCACUUGAGUGAGAUAGGGGAGAGUGGAAUUUCAUGUGGAGGGAUAAAAUCCGAUCUAGAUAUGAAGGAACACGAAUAGUAAAGGCAGCUCUCUGGAUCCCUACCGACGCUAGGGUGUGACUGCAUGAGAAGCAAAUAGGAUCAGAUACCCUAGUAGUCUAUGCCAUAAGCGACGAGUAUUCGCCCUUGUGAUGGGCCCAGCGUAAGUGUGAAACACUCCACCUAGGGAGUACGGUUGCAAGACUGAAACUCAAAGGAAUUGAUGGGGGCCUGCACAAGCAGUGGAGCAUGUGGUUAAAUUCGAUACGACGUGUAGAACCUUACCAGCCAUUGUUGUGGCUCUUAGAUAAGUGUGCCUAUCCACGACCACAUUCAGGAUGGUGCGAAUCGAGUGGCUACAGGUGCUACAUGGCUGUCGUCAGCUCGUGUCAUGAGAUGUUUGGUUAAGUCCCUUAACGAGUGAAACCCUCGUCAUUGUAUGUUGUGGUGCACGAAGUGUCAGAGUCACGUCCCAUGAGUUUUAUUACUUACCGUGCCAGUCCUGCCGAAACUUCUUGUAGUGUUGUUGGCAGCUACAUGAGUCAGCAAUGUUACUCACACUGUCGAAAACAUAGGCUAGGCGGUUCCCCUAGUGUAUUGGGUUCUAUCCCAUCGGGGCAACUCCUUCCCGUACCCCAUACAUACAGUUAGACGGGGUACCGUAUGUGGUAAGCCCUUCACCCCAGCUCGAGGUCCAGACACAUGGCAGGGGCAGGCCACACUCACUCGAGGCUACUAGUGAGAUGCUGGAGGAAGGUGGGGAUAACGUUAAGUAUGCAUGGCCCUUAUGGGCUAGGCCACACAUGUGCUACAAUGGUUGAACCAAUGGGAAGCAAAGCCGUAAGGCAGAGCGAAUCCAGUAGAAACCAGUAGCCUCAGUUCAGAUUGUUCUCUGCAACUCGAGAACAGGAAGGUGGAAUUGCUAGUAAUCAUGCAUCAACAUGACGCGGUGAAUCUGUACCUGGGCCCUAUACACACCGCCUGUUAAACCCUGGGAAAAGCUCUCACCAGAAGUAGUAAAGCCAAAGACCGCGCAUGCAUAUACAUAACACUAGAGUAGUGAAGAGAUCUGUGUGCUGUGCACCACAUUCUCCUAUUCCACAUUGGUGGCGAAGCUUGGGUGGUGCUCUUUUGGUUGGCGCAUGAUAAGGUGGGGCAUAGACUAGGGUGAAGUCAUAACAAGGUAGCCAUAGGGGA
rnacentral:rRNA from 1 species